ensembl:lncRNA
CCCAAUCUCCUAAUUCCCCUUCCCACUUAAAGGACCUAGCUUUUUAGUCUGUCAUCUUUUUUCUUUUUUAAUUCAGAAGCACAGAUUUCCCAUAUUGUAGAAUUUAAUUGAACUUCAAGCAGCUAUUUCUGAACCUUGACCUCUCCAGAGCUGGCCACCUUUCCCUAGGAUCUGUCCAACUGUAGCAGCAGCUGGGUUUUUCUGUAGCAGAGCUCCUUAGGAGAGGCCCAAGCUGUCUCCUGCAUAUCGUUUGCUUCUGCACAAUGCAGCUGGGACUCUGCCUCUGGGGCAGAGCAGGUGAGUUGUCAGAAAAGACCUAGAAAAUGAUCUGAUUGGCUUUAAUUCUUCCAGAGAGGGGCACAGGGUCUUCUCCUCUCCUAAAAGCAUCACCUGUCCCCCUCUCCCCCACCAAAAAAAAGUGUAGAAGGAGAGCAUUUUGCUUUGGUAACCUUCAAAAGUGAUUGAGGAAAGCGUAUCUUACUUAGGAAAAAAAAUAUAAUCUCUUACAUGAUGAGCAUGACAUAGGUUCAAACUGAAAGUGAUUAUAAAUUAUGUCAGUCUUCAAGCUAUUAAAGCCCUGCUGUCCUCAACAGGUGCGUUUUCUGAAGCUCCUCUUUUGAUAGGGUCAUGGAAAGCUCCCACCUUCCCACUAAUGAACUCUGCCUUUCUGAUGAGAUGGCGAAUGGCAGGCAGUGGGCUCUGUGACUCCUAAAUCUGUUGUAUAGAAGGAAGGAUGUUUCCUUCCAUGAUGAAUAUGUUUACUAUCUUGUCACAAUAGAAAUGUCAAAACCUAAAGGACCAGCCCAUAGGCUGAAAACCAAAUUUCCAUGCCAGUCGCAAAUCCUUAUGAAAUAUAGUCUGUUUCCAAGGAGGAUCGACUUCUCUGAAGAACUCAUCUGGGUUUAGAAUGAAAGCCAUAAUGCAUAUGUUGUGAUGACUGGAAGGAAAACUAGGAUGUGCUGGAAUCUUUACCACUAACGCCACCUGGUGGAGAAGGAAAUGGCAACCCAC